CUGAAGCCUACUCAUGCAGCAGACAAUGUUCAACCCGUGAACGAUACACAACCGCGUGUGGAUUGUUUGAUUGGCAACGUUGUACUAAACACAGGACAAAGUAUUACUCGUGUUCCAACACGUGUUACUGUCAGAUUUGCUGCCAGGGAUAUACCGGCUCAGACUGUAACACACCAUUAUGUUUUGGGUCCAUAUCAUGCUUGAACAACAACACGUGUACAGACCCGGACCAAUGUAGCUGCAAAAUCGGCUACCAGCUGCCAAAGUGUGAAGAUACAAACGAGUGUUCCUCAAAUAACGGCGGCUG